UACGUAGGAGGCAAGCGUUGUCCGGAAUUACUGGGCGUAAAGCGCGUGUAGGUGGUGGGACAAGCCUGCUGUGAAAGCGCCUGGCUUAACCGGGCGAGGUCGGCGGAAACUGUUCGACUCGAGGACGGUAGAGGGGGGUGGAAUUCCCGGUGUAGUGGUGAAAUGCGUAGAGAUCGGGAGGAACACCUGUGGCGAAGGCGGCCCCCUGGGCCGGCCCUGACACUGAGACGCGAAGGCGUGGGGAGCGAACGGG
rnacentral:rRNA from 1 species